UGUUCCGGUCUCUGCGCGCGCACAUCACCAGAUUGGGAGCCGCCGGUGCCGCUGCUGGGGUUCUCCGUCUGCUCGGGCGCGCGGGUCACGUCGGUCGCCCAGGGAGCUUCACCAGGGCACGGUGUUGCAGGGUCGGACAUCAAUCGCGACGUCCCUAGCUCCCCGCCGGUGUCGGGGAUUGAACAUGUGCCGCUGCGAGCGAAUCAGUUGGCCGCUGUCAGGAAUCUUCAACCGCUUCAACGAUUUGGUGGUGCUCGGUGGUCGGGAAGCUUCUCUGGCUCACCCCUCACAUGUGUGUGGCCUUAUUGGACAAAGAUAGCCUUCCGAGCUCGACCAAUUGCUCAUCGGUGCAAUGGCUCCACCGCGGGCGGGACCACUGCUGCAGACCCAUUUCACUCCCUUGCCAUCACCGGUAAUAUGCAUGUCCUUGUGUUCGUCAUGUCCCUUAUUACAUAUCGCACACCGUGGAUUAGGAUUUAGGGCUUGUUUGUGUAGCUUCGCCGACCUCUGGCCAUCUCUCCGCCAUGGAGGAUUGCUACGCCGCCGUGUGGUGUAUUGGGUCGGUGUGAUGAUUUUUGGGCCGUCGGAUCGGAAAUAUGCGAUCAGGAUCGACUCAAGCAUAGCGACUCAGCCAAAACCAUGGGGGCUCGUCCGAUCAGAAUCUAUGGGUCACGAUUAGAUCCCAGGCCAUGACAUCUAGCCCGUCGAUUUAACCACCUGCGGCUCCGAUUAGAUACUGGUUAGAUCUGCUCGUGGCCGUCCGAAUCUAAUCUGACGGCCCAGGCAGCCCCGUACCCCUUCGCGGAUGCAUCUUGCUAAAGAGCCCCAGGGUUUCACCGAAAUGAACCCGCCGUCCACCUCGGGUCAUGGCUGUGUCGGUAGAUUUUAUAGAAUAAACCCCGACCUUUUCUGUAUUAGUGCGCCCAGUCUAGGAAUUAAAGAAAAUAGGAAAAAGAGAGUUAGAAAUUGAUUUUGAGUAUAAAAAUAAUUAUAAAACUUGUAUAAUUCAUAGAAAAUUCAUAUUAAGUCCAAAUUAGUCCAUUCCAGUUCCUAUAAUUUUGUAAUAAUAUUGUUUAUCAGUUAGUGCCACUGUUUUUACAUGAAAUCUACAUUAAAAUUUAUAUCCUAAUUAAUCUUGUACAAAACACAUAGAAUCUUUGGAAAUCCAUAACUUAAAAUCUAUAACUCCAAAAUUAAUAAUUCAUGUUCCUGUGAUCUUAUAUCAAUAGGUAGAUUAUUAAUAUGUAUUUUACAUAUAUGUUUGGUGUGAUGUUAAUUUUGCCUAUACACUGUUUGUUUGUAUUGCUACGACUAGCGUGAGGUCACGAGUCACCUGAAGAUCAUCCUGGUACCUGGAAUCUCAAGUCCCAGGCAAGUUGUGCCCUUGAUCACUUCGUUUACCCACUCAUGUUCUAAUAAAUCAUAAUGAUCUACAUAGGUUAAUUUUGAUGGGACCUAAUAGGUUACCUUAGUUUGUCUAUCUUUAUGCCUUGUUUACCUCUAAACUUUUUGGGUAGUGCUUGCUAGUGAUAUAUGUGGUUUUGGGCAUUGAGAUAAACAUUAUUCAUGAUUAUACUUUGUUAUCAGUUGUUAUUUACUGUUCAUGAUAAGAUUAUUAUGUUAAUUGGAACAUGGAGCGACCACCCGAGAAAACAGUGCUACCACAAGGGUUUAAUGGGACGCCCUUGGCUGAUUAAUUAGGAAAGCUAGUGGAAGACUACCUCACCUGAAAGGGGCAAGGGCAGUAGGGGAGUGGUCAGUGUGGGGAGGUCCUUGGUUGAUUUUGCUGCGAUGGCGGUCAGGCGAGGGAUCCCUGCAUUGGAGCUUCCUAUAAACUGUAGCGGCUUUUCUAAAGCUAGUGGAACUUUGUAAAGGCCUCGUAGUGUUACCCUGCCUCGCUUCCUUUGUAGAGGUGUAUGGGGCCCGUACAACCCCGUGGCAAAUGGGUAACAUGACUUGUGGGUAAAGAUGCGCAACCUCUGCAGAGUGUAAAACUGGUAUACUAGCCAUGCUCACGGUCAUGAGCAGCUCGGACCCUCACAUGAUUAAUUUAUGGAACUUAAAUUCAAUUUGUCAUAUGCAUUGCAUCGCAGGUGAUGUUGUUACUUCUGUUCUACUACUUAAUUGGGUUGGUAUUUACUUAUACUUAGUAAUUGCUAAUAAAAUUUUGACCAACUUUAAAAGCAAUGCUCAGCUUCAACCAUCUCCGUUGGUAAGCUUACACUUCACAUGAGCUCCCAUCUUUGGCGAGUUCAUGCACAUUAUUCCCCACAACUUGUUGAGCAAUGAACGUAUGUGAGCUCACUCUUGCUGUCUCACACCCCCACAGGUCAAGAACAGGUACCACAGGAUGAGGCGCAUGGAGGAUGCUGCGAUAUGUUCGUGAGAGGUCUAGGCCGUCGUCUCCCAGUCAACUUUGGGUUGCUGGACCGUUGUCUCCUUAUAAUGUAAUUAUUUAUUUUGUAUAUAACUCCUAUUAUAUAGUAAAGAUGUGACAUUCGAUCCUGUGCCAU
rnacentral:lncRNA from 1 species